rnacentral:rRNA from 1 species
UACGUAGGGCGCAAGCGUUGUCCGGAAUUAUUGGGCGUAAAGAGCUCGUAGGCGGCUUGUCACGUCGAUUGUGAAAGCCCGAGGCUUAACCUCGGGUCUGCAGUCGAUACGGGCUAGCUAGAGUGUGGUAGGGGAGAUCGGAAUUCCUGGUGUAGCGGUGGAAUGCGCAGAUAUCAGGAGGAACACCGGUGGCGAAGGCGGGUCUCUGGGCAGUAACUGACGCUGAGGAGCGAAAGCGUGGGGAGCGAACAGG